ACCUGAGUGGUGGAACUGGUAGACACGCCGGACUUAAAAUCCUGUGGCCCGUAAGGGCCGUGCGGGUUCAACUCCCGCCUCAGGUA
rnacentral:tRNA from 1 species